CUGCAUAAUAUCUAUAUUUGUUUUAAGAGGUUAAAACAUACCAUCAACUUGGAUUUUAGGUGUUGCACAGGUAAAAAGGUUGUAUGGAGUGGCAAAUUCAGUGUUUUGUAGUUGACAGCUAUGCUGCAGAUGCACUUUUAUUUUGAAAAAAGUUCAAAUUUAAGUUCUUUCUCUCUUUCUCUGUUGUCUUUCUACCAGCUGGAACCAGUCGGACCAUUCUCCUCUGACAUCAACUAGACAUUUCCUCCCACAGAACUGUCGCUCACUGGAUGUUUUCUCUUUUUUGGACCAUUCUCUUUAAACCUCAGAGAUGGUUGUGGGUGAAAAUCCUAGUAGAGAACCAGUUUCUGGAAUACUCAGACCAGCACGUCUGGCACCAACAAUCAUGCCAUGCUGAAAGUACUUCAAUCCCCUUUCAUGCCCAUUCUGAUGCCCGGUUUGAACUGCAGCAGAUCGUCUUGGCAUGUCUGCAUGCCUAAAUGCAUUGAGUUGCUGCCAUGUGAUUGGUUGAUUAAAUAUUUGCUCAAACGAGCAGUUGGACAGGUGUGUCUAAUAAAGUGGCUAAUAAGUGUCGAUGCCCACAGGACGUCUGUCAGAUGCCCACACAAACCACUCUGAUUGUCUAAUUUCCUAAAUUCGGACACACAGGGAACGUGGACUUCCGUGGAUGACAGCUUUCCUGUGCAGUUUGCAAAUCAGUACAACAUGUCUGCCUCUACUUCCUCCUUACUCUUUAUACGUUUGCUACGACGUGUCACCCCCUCCAAAAAAAAAAGAAAAAAGUCAGCGUAAACAUCAAAACUUACUGAGGCGUCUACAACUUCAAUAUUCAAGAUUUGCCCAUUUUUUACCUGUAUCCAGUUAUAGGAGCAAUUCUGACUAAAGCUUUAGGACUUUUGGUAAAAUGUGUCACAGGACAGUAUUUUUUCAGGCUUUAAUAAACAGGUAUGGUCAAUUUUGGAUGUGCUAACUCAUCUUAAAUGAACCAUGACUUCCUCAUCAUCAGGAAGGCAUGCUAAGAAAGUGCUACAAGGUGUUUCCAGGGCAGGAGGGGAUACUUUCCUGGCUUGUUUUCUUGUUAGACAACGGGACAGUUAGUGCUGAGAGAAAGACAUCAACAUUCCGAACGAGUCGUCCAGUUGAGUGCAGGAACUCAAGACCUUGGGCGUUCCUUGACUUUUUAACAUGGUCGGAAACAUGCAGUCAAAGUUGUCAAGAGGCGCUUAGCACCGGAUUGGCUUCGCCAGAACCCAGACACUAAUCCCAUUGGAGAAUCCGUGGAGGGAACGGAAAAAUACCUUUCAGGCUGGGAGACCUGACACUAAUUAGAAAAGAAAGUCGUCCAAGAGAAAGUUUUUGGGGAAACCACAACUAUAACUUCACAAAAAUGUGGAAUUUUUGUGGGGAAUUUCUGUGAGGCUCAACUUUCAUCCAUUGUGGCUAUCACAUACAGUUUCAUUAAGACUUGUUAUCUCACUCUUUGUUCUCGUCCUCCGUCUGCAUCACACACACCUCUUCCAUAAAACUCAUCCUAUUCAUCACUGCCCACGCCUCACACCGGGCCACACAACCCGCACCGCCGCCAAUUCAUUCCUCAUCCUCUCAACGCAGCAAAACCGGGCUAAUAGGCCCAACAGCCCGCCCACUGCUAUUCAAGGCAUCACCAGGAGGAAAAAAAAAAGGACGAGUGCGAAGGAAAAUAGUGAGAGAAAGAGAAGGAGUGAGGGAAAUGACAAGUCGAGGGAUGCGAGGACUGGCAGAAAGCGGGAGCAGAAGGAAAAAGUGCAUCCUGGUGUACUCAGUCUGCGAACGCAGCUGUCAGCGCGGCUGCCGAGGAACCCAAACAUCAGGACCCCUUUGAUUGUGAUGUUUUUUUUUUUUUUUUCUUUUUCAGAGCUUCAGCUCUGGUCGGAGCUCAAAGUAAGUGCUGUUGGGCGAAAUGAAAGGCGGCUCAGGAGUGGCUCCGGGAGGGGAAAAACAAUGUCUCACCAGUUGUGCACAAAAGGAAAAAUACUCGUUUGUUGGAAGCGUGGUGUUCAGAAAUGUAAACCCUCUGAGCUGGAGUGAUUUCAGCACAUCCUAUCCAACACGCUGAUAUUACCGCUGCAGUUUGACAAUUAAACAGGAGUUAUCAGAUUUCCACCUGAGAGACUUCCAUCCAGCAAAGGAAAAGGAAAAAAAAUCAAUGGAUUUAUCUGUCUUCAUGUAAAUGUGGGAUAAUUAUCAAAGCUCUGAAAUGACAUUCCUCCAAAUGCCCCCAUUACUGGGAAAAUUUGCUGGGACGACCAUAAUUUUGUCUUUUGCCGCCCUAAUAUGAUAAAUGGUCAUUAUUUUUGUUCACACUACACUAAAUGAGGAGAAAGAAACACUAUAGUGUAAGUUUGAGUCCGGAAGUCUAAAACCAGAAUAAUAAAAGGAACUGAAAUUAUUUUUUCAGCAAAGUGAAUUAAAAUUUGGUUGGAAUCACAGCAAUGUGCUUAAAGUCCUCCUCUGAUGAUGUUUUUUGAGUUUUUAACAUUUAUGUGUGGCAUUUUUGUAAUAAGAUGUAAUAAAACAUCAUUUUGUUUUUGCAUUUCUGAGUAUUUCUCCUUUUAAAUUUCUGUCAAUCAAACUGUCACAGACCGGCUCUGUUUGAAUUCAUGAGCUUUCUUUACGUCACAACAUCUAUGCUGCACAUGCACCAAACCCUCAUCUGGCCCGGGUAGCGUGUCUUGCUCAGGUGUCGGAAAAGAGAAGAUUCUAUCUUCCCACUGACUGCAGUCAAAUGAGCCGCCGUCACCGAUAUGGCUGGACAUUACCGAUACUAGUUGAUAUUUUUAUGUAGCAGCGAUGAAGAUUUACGCUGGCGAGACACAGAGCUUUCAUAAUCAGACAGUGGGGGGAUUAGGGGAGGGGCUACUCGACUCAGCUCCAAAAGCCACGCCCCCUCAGAGGACAUUUUAGAAACAGAGGUUUCAGAUCAGCAUGAAAAAUCACUUAUUAAGACAUUUAGGUUGUGGGAUUUUGGUUAAAAACUUCAUAAUCAUAAUUAAAACACUACUGGGACGUAGUCUUUGUGUUCUUACAGCUGGCAUCUGUCUCAAAGCUGUAUAUAGCUCCAGUAUUGUUUGCCAUUUUUGUUCCACAGCUAAUGCUAGGUUGGUUAGCGUGUAAACAGAUGGGUGAUGGGAAGUGGGGGCGUGCUUACUCUGCACCCAAAACUCAAGGGUGAAUUUCCAAUGAACUACUGCUGCUCUGUAGAAACGUUCUAGAAAUAACUAGAAACGCUUUUAAAAUAGAAUAAAAGAUGAUUGAAGUUGGACUUUAGACAGCAAACAAUAUUUAUUUGGUGAACUUUCUAUUCGCCGUCUUCCCUUCCAAACAUGUGUAUCCGGCUAUUUUUAGGUGUCUCCGAAAAAAUAUUUUUAAAUGCUAAUUAUGUUUUUAUUUUACGCUGUCAAAACUUGUUUUGUUAAAACUCCUAAAAAAGAGGGGCUGGUGGGUUGAUAUCAUCCACUCUAAUGCAAACAUCUGCAGCUGAUUGUACUUUUUUUGGCAUCAGUUUGAUUGUGUGUGGAUUUGAGGGAGCGAAUAAAAAAAAAAAAAAAAA